CCCUUAGAUGUCCUGGGCCGCACGCGCGCUACACUGAACGGAUCAGCGCGUUUUCCCUUCCCGAGAGGGACGGGUAACCUGCUGAACCCCGUUCGUGGUAGGGAUCGGGGCUUGCAAUUAUUCCCCGUGAACCAGGAAUGCCCAGUAAGUGCAAGUCAUAAGCUUGCGUUGAUUACGUCCCUGCCCUUUGUACACACCGCUCGUCGCUACUACCGAUUGAACGUUUUAGUGAGGUACUCGGACUGAGCCUCAGAAGAUUCACGUCUUUUGUGCUGCUCGGGAAGAUUCCCAAACUUGAGCGUUUAGAGGAAGUAAAAGUCGUAACA
rnacentral:rRNA from 1 species